AUUGAACGCUGGCGGCAGGCUUAACACAUGCAAGUCGAGCGGGGGAAGGUAGCUUGCUACCGGACCUAGCGGCGGACGGGUGAGUAAUGCUUAGGAAUCUGCCUAUUAGUGGGGGACAACAUCUCGAAAGGGAUGCUAAUACCGCAUACGUCCUACGGGAGAAAGCAGGGGAUCUUCGGACCUUGCGCUAAUAGAUGAGCCUAAGUCGGAUUAGCUAGGUGGUGGGGUAAAGGCCUACCAAGGCGACGAUCUGGAGGGGGUCUGAGAGGAUGGUCCGCCACACUGGGACUGGGAAACCGGCCAGACUCCUACGGGAGGCAGCAGUGGGGAAUAUUGGACAAUGGGGGGAACCCUGAUCCAGCCAUGCCGCGGGUGUGAAGAAGGCCUUAUGGUUGUAAAGCACUUUAAGCGAUGAGGAGGCUACUUUAGUUAAUACCUAGAGAUAGUGGACGUUACUCGCAGAAUAAGCACCGGCUAACUCUGUGCCAGCCGCCGCCGUAA
rnacentral:rRNA from 1 species